GGAGAAGAAGCUGAAAGGACUGGAGAACAGCUGUCAUGUUUUGAAAUACGGCAUCGACGAAUGCAGCAGCAGCAGCAACAACAAUUUGCACAAUUCGCCGUCGUCGAUCCUCGAUGGCGGCGAAGGCGGCGGCGGAGACGGAAACAAGCUAAUUGUGGAUCAGUUCCUCGUCGCGGUAUCCGAAUCGAGGUCCUCGAUCAAAAUCCUGAGCCGUUCUUUGACAGUACAGCUCAAACAAUUGAACGCC
rnacentral:lncRNA from 1 species